GACAGAGGUGCCGAGCGUUAGGCGGAAUCACUGGGCUUAAAGCGUGUGUAGGCGGACCGUUAAGUACCUUGUGAAAUCCCGCGGCUCAACCGUGGAACGGCUGGGUAGACUGGCGGUCUUGGGCCACCUAGGGGCAGAUGGAACAGACGGUGGAGCGGUGAAAUGCGUAGAUAUCGUCUGGAACGCCAAAGGUGAAGACAGUCUGCUGGGGGUGUGCCGACGCUGAGACACGAAAGCCAGGGGAGCGAACGGG
rnacentral:rRNA from 1 species